GAAUUGGAGGGCAAGUUUGGUGCCAGCAGCCGCGGUAAUACCGACUCCAAGAGUGUGUAUGAGAGAUGCUGCAGUUAAAAAGUCCGUAGUCAUAGAAGGGCAAAGAGAGAUGCGAGGUCUCACAGUGCGAUGAUGGAGGAGCCGAUGGGGAACAUAGUAUACCAGGGCGAGAGAUGAAAUGCCAAGACCCCUGGUGGACUGAGCGAGGCGAAGGCGAUGUUCUUGUAGGCAUUCGGUGAUCAAGGACGAAGGCUGGAGUAUCGAAAGUGAUUAGAUACCGCAGUAGUUCCAGCAGUAAAAGAUGCCGACAUGCUCAUUGGACACAGUGGGCAGGGAGAAAUCUUAGAGUUCGGGCUCUGGGGAUAGUAUGCUCGCAAGGGUGAAAAUUAAAGAAAUUGACGGAGCUACACCACAAGGAGUGGAUUGUGCGGCUUAAUUUGACUCAACGCGAGGAAACUUACCAGGGCCAAGUAUUGUGUAGAAACGAGCAAUACAGGAGUGGUGCAUGGUCGUUGGAAAUUGAUGGGAUGACUUUGACCUUAAAUGGUUGAAUGAGUGAGAUCUUUUGGACAUGUUCCGCACGGAACAGGAAGGAAAAGGCUAUAACAGAUCCGAGAUGCCCUCAGAUGCCCUGGGCUGCACGCGCAAUACAAUAGCAGGUAGAGAGAGAGACAGGAAGGUGCUCAGAUGGACUAUGUGCUGUAAGGCACAUACGAAAGAGGAAUUCCUAGUAAGUGUGUAUCAACAAUGGAUAU
rnacentral:rRNA from 1 species